ACAAUGACUCUCGGCAACGGAUAUCUUGGCUCUCGCAUCGAUGAAGAACGCAGCGAAAUGCGAUACGUGGUGUGAAUUGCAGAAUCCCGUGAAUCAUCAAGUUUUUGAACGCAAGUUGCGCCCGAGACAUUUACGUUUAGGGCACGCCUGCCUGGGUGUCACG
rnacentral:rRNA from 1 species